UGGGGAAUAUUGGACAAUGGGCGAAAGCCUGAUCCAGCAAUGCCGCGUGUGUGAAGAAGGUCUUCGGAUCGUAAAGCACUUUCGACGGGGACGAUGAUGACGGUACCCGUAGAAGAAGCCCCGGNUAACUUCGUGCCAG
rnacentral:rRNA from 1 species